UACGUAGGGGGCAAGCGUUGUCCGGAAUCAUUGGGCGUAAAGCGCGCGUAGGCGGCCCGGUAAGUCCGCUGUGAAAGUCAAAGGCUUAACCUUUGAAUGUCAGCGGAUACUGUCGGGCUAGAGUCCGGAAGAGGCGAGUGGAAUUCCUGGUGUAGCGGUGGAAUGCGCAGAUAUCAGGAGGAACACCAACGGCGAAGGCAGCUCGCUGGGACGGUACUGACGCUGAGGCGCGAAAGCGUGGGAGCGAACAGG
rnacentral:rRNA from 1 species